GCCCUUAAGUUUGAUCCUGGCUCAGGACGAACGCUGGCGGCGUGCCUAAUACAUGCAAGUCGAACGAAUUGGUGCUUGCAUCAUUGAGUGGCGAACUGGUGAGUAACACGUGGGAAACCUGCCCAGAAGCGGGGGAUAACACCUGGAAACAGAUGCUAAUACCGCAUAACAACUUGACCGCAUGGUCCAAGUUGAAAGAUGUUCGUAUCACUUUUGGAUGGUCCCGCGGCGUAUUAGCUAGAUGGUGGGGUAACGGCUCACCAUGGCAAUGAUACGUAGCCGACCUGAGAGGGUAAUCGGCCACAUUGGGACUGAGACACGGCCCAAACUCCUACGGGAGGCAGCAGUAGGGAAUCUUCCACAAUGGACGAAAGUCUGAUGGAGCGACGCCGCGUGAGUGAAGAAGGGUUUCGGCUCGUAAAACUCUGUUGUUAAAGAAGAACAUAUCUGAGGUAAUUCAGGUAUUGACGGUAUUUAACCAGAAAGCCACGGCUAACUACGUGCCAGCAGCCGCGGUAAUACGUAGGUGGCAAGCGUUGUCCGGAUUUAUUGGGCGUAAAGCGAGCGCAGGCGGUUUUUUAAGUCUGAUGUGAAAGCCUUCGGCUCAACCGAAGAAGUGCAUCGGAAACUGGGAAACUUGAGUGCAGAAGAGGACAGUGGAACUCCAUGUGUAGCGGUGAAAUGCGUAGAUAUAUGGAAGAACACCAGUGGCGAAGGCGGCUGUCUGGUCUGUAACUGACGCUGAGGCUCGAAAGUAUGGGUAGCAAACAGGAUUAGAUACCCUGGUAGUCCAUACCGUAAACGAUGAAUGCUAAGUGUUGGAGGGUUUCCC
rnacentral:rRNA from 1 species